rnacentral:rRNA from 1 species
GACGAACGCUGGCGGCGUGCGUAACACAUGCAAGUCGAACGAGAGAGAGAGAGAAGCUUGCUUUUCUUACGAUCGAGUGGCAAACGGGUGAGUAACGCGUAAACAACCUGCCCCGCAGAUGGGGACAACAGCUGGAAACGGCUGCUAAUACCGAAUACGGUCCUCUUAGCGCAUGGUAAGAGGAAGAAAGGGUGGCCUCUGGAACAAGCUACCGCUGCGGGAGGGGUUUGCGUCUGAUUAGCUGGUUGGAGGGGUAACGGCCCACCAAGGCGACGAUCAGUAGCCGGUCUGAGAGGAUGAACGGCCACAUUGGAACUGAGACACGGUCCAGACUCCUACGGGAGGCAGCAGUGGGGAAUCUUCCGCAAUGGGCGAAAGCCUGACGGAGCAACGCCGCGUGAGUGAAGACGGCCUUCGGGUUGUAAAACUCUGUUAUAGGGGACGAACGGCCGGGUAGCGAAGAGGUAGCCGGCAUGACG